CACUUUACAUGGUGUUCAAGAUGGUUACUUCCGCCCACUCUGAAGAGUCUCGGCGUCUGAUUGGUCCAAUUUUCAGUUAGGCGCCGCCUGAUUGGCCGCUGGACGAUGUCUGCUCCUAACAGAUGGCUAAAUCACUAGUUAACUAUUUUCAUCAUGGAAGUUAUACAGCUCAUGUAUCACACUUAAUAUUGAAUAUAUAUAUAAAAAGGGUUUUCCAAAAGGACCAUUUAUAAUCGAAAUACACAACUUCACACACGAUUUUGAGCACAACAGAGCGCUCAGUGAACAUCACUUCCGGGACCUGCAUCACCGGAGGGGGACAUCUAUCUUGGUCACAAACCAUCUUUGACAGUCUUCGACAGCAUGGUUGAAUCAGGCGCAUCAACACAUGAUAUAGACAUCGUGCCCAAAAGAAGAGCGAGACGUAAUCCUGAGGCUGAAGCCACCGAGUUUAUUUGAUCUGGAUGUGACAAGUCUUGUUUUAAGGCCCAGUGGAUCAAUGAUUGGAAAGACACCAACUGUUGAUGUUCUAUCUCAACAUUCUCCAGAUUCAUGUGAGCGAUAAACCGACUUCAUCCCUCCAACAGACACCAACUGUUGGGGUUCUAUCUCAACAUUCUCCAGAUUCAGAUGUGAGCGAUAAACCGACUUCAUCCCUCCAACAGAAACCAACUGUUGAGGUUCCAUCUCAACAUUCUCCGGAUUCAGAUGUGAGCCAUUAACUGACUUCAUCCCUCCAACAGAAACCAACUGUUUGAGGUUCUAUCUCAACAUUCUCUAGAUUCAGAUGACAGCCAUAAACCGACUUCAUCCCUCCAACAGAUUGACAGCAGGACAAAUCGCUGGAAGUGGGUAUGUCUCAAGCUUCUUCCACUUGGUCCACUCCAAAGCGGGGUAAAUAAAUAAUCCACAUCAUUUACUAGAAUAUUAUAUUACGUUUUGCACCUUUUCACUGUGUUAUAGUCAUUUUUCCUUCAGUAAGAAAU